AGAGUUUGAUCCUGGCUCAGAAUGAACGCUGGCGGCGUGCUUAACACAUGCAAGUCGCACGAGAACGUUCCAGCUUGCUGGAGCAAGUAAAGUGGCGCACGGGUGAGUAACGCGUGGGUAAUCUACCCUUGAAUUUGGGAUAACCCUUCGAAAGGGGGGCUAAUACCGGAUGACAUCACAUUUUUUUCGGGAUAUGUGAUCAAAGAUGGCCUCUCCAUGGAAGCUAUUGUUUGAGGAGGAGCCCGCGUACCAUUAGCUAGUUGGUAGGGUAAAGGCCUACCAAGGCUACGAUGGUUAGCUGUCUGAGAGGAUGACCAGUCACACUGGAACUGACACACGGUCCAGACUCCUACGGGAGGCAGCAGUGAGGAAUUUUGCGCAAUGGGGGAAACCCUGACGCAGCAACGCCGCGUGAGUGAUGAAGGCCUUCGGGUCGUAAAGCUCUGUCAAGUGGGAAGAACCUAUCCAAGGGUAAUAUUCUUGGGUACUGACGGUACCACUGAAGGAAGCACCGGCUAACUCCGUGCCAGCAGCCGCGGUAAUACGGGGGGUGCAAGCGUUAUUCGGAAUUAUUGGGCGUAAAGGGCGCGUAGGCGGUCUUAUUAGUCAGAUGUGAAAGCCCGGGGCUCAACCCCGGAAGUGCAUUUGAUACUGUAAGACUUGAGUAUGGGAGAGGGAAGUGGAAUUCCUGGUGUAGAGGUGAAAUUCGUAGAUAUCAGGAGGAACAUCUGUGGCGAAGGCGACUUCCUGGACCAAUACUGACGCUGAGGCGCGAAGGCGUGGGUAGCAAACAGGAUUAGAUACCCUGGUAGUCCACGCAGUAAACGGUGUUCACUAGGUGUAGCGGGUAUUGACCCCUGCUGUGCCGGAGUUAACGCAUUAAGUGAACCGCCUGGGGAGUACGAUCGCAAGAUUAAAACUCAAAGGAAUUGACGGGGGCCCGCACAAGCGGUGGAGCAUGUGGUUUAAUUCGACGCAACGCGAAGAACCUUACCUGGAUUUGACAUCCUGGGAAUCCCUUUAGAAAUUUGGGAGUGCCCUUCGGGGAACCUGGAGACAGGUGCUGCAUGGCUGUCGUCAGCUCGUGUCGUGAGAUGUUGGGUUAAGUCCCGCAACGAGCGCAACCCUUAUCUUUAGUUACCAGCAUUUCGGAUGGGGACUCUAGAGAUACUGCCCCGGUCAACGGGGAGGAAGGUGGGGAUGACGUCAAGUCCUCAUGGCCUUUAUGUCCAGGGCUACACACGUGCUACAAUGGGCGGAACAAAGGGUAGCAAUAUCGCGAGGUGGAGCUAAUCUCAGAAAACCGUCCCAAGUUCGGAUUGGAGUCUGCAACUCGACUCCAUGAACCUGGAAUCGCUAGUAAUCGCGGAUCAGCAUGCCGCGGUGAAUACGUUCCCGGGCCUUGUACACACCGCCCGUCACACCAUGAGAGUUGGUCGUACCAGAAGUUGUUGGGCUAACCUUUCGAGGAGGCAGGCACCUAAGGUAUGGCUGAUGAUUGGGGUGAAGUC
rnacentral:rRNA from 1 species